rnacentral:tRNA from 1 species
GGGUCUGUAGCUCAGCUGGUUAGAGCACACGUCUGAUAAGCGUGAGGUCAGAAGUUCAACUCUUCUCAGGCCCACCA